rnacentral:rRNA from 1 species
AUGUCAAACAUAGCCACCCAUUGGUGUUAUGCGUGCCGUCGGCCAAUUUUUCUUCGUGGACAAGAUACAAUCUAUCCCAACUGCAAUGACCGCUUCGUACAAGAGAUCUGUGAGAUAGGAGGUGCUUUGAACAACUACGGUUUGUUUGGGCCACGCUUCGGUGAUCGCCUAGAAGGACAAUUUGGAAUGAUGGAUGCUAUAUUGGCAAGUACCACACAAGGAAGGCUGUCCCCGAUUGACCCUAGGCUGAUAAUCGACAGCAACAUGCCUGCUCAAGGGAGCGACAAUAGCGGAGUAGACGUGCUUGUUAGGGGAGGCCGCAUGAUCGGUGUUGACUGCCCAAACUUCAGCGGUUUCCUUGUCGGUGGCCCCAGCCUCGAAGCUUUGUUCGAGCAGCUGCUACUGCAGAUCGGCAACCGUCAAGGGCCAGCGCCGGCUCCACAGUCCACAAUCGACUCCAUGCCGGUGGUGAGGAUAACCUGCAGGCAUUUGAGCGAUGAUUCAGUCUUCCCAAUCUGCACAGACUGA